AUUGAACGCUGGCGGCAGGCCUAACACAUGCAAGUCGAGCGAGCGGCGGACGGGUGAGUAAUGUAUGGGGAUGUGCCCGAGAGAGGGGGAUCAGUACUGGGAACUGAGGCUAAUACCGCAUACUAUAGGAUGAACCCAAUGGGGAUUAGCGAGUAGGUGGGGUAAAGGCACACCAAGGCGAGGAUCUCUACCUGGUCUGAGAGGAUGAUCAGCCACACGGGGACUGAGACACGGCCCAGACUCCUACGGGAGGCAGCAGUGGGGAAUAUUGCACAAUGGGCGAAAGCCUGAUGCAGCCAUGCCGCGUGUGUGAAGAAGGCCUUAGGGUUGUAAAGUACUUUCAGCGGGGAGGCGUUACCUGCAGAAGAAGCACCGGCUAACUCCGUGCCAGCAGCCGCGGUAAUAC
rnacentral:rRNA from 1 species